rnacentral:snRNA from 1 species
GUACUUGCUUUGUCAGCACAUGUACUAAAGCUGGAACCCUACACAGAUUAACAUAGCCCUUGUGUGCAGGUGACAUGAAGGUUUGUGAAAAAGUCUAUGUUCUU